AAAAAGGCAAACCCUGGGUUUCCGUGUCCAACUUUAAUUGUCCGUCUUAUAUAUUUUUUUUUAUAAUUUGUAUUUUCAUUGUUGUUAGAUGAUAAAACAUGAUUAAUAUUUUAUGUGUGACUUGUCUUUUUAAUUUUUUUCAUAAUUUUUUUAAAUAAGACGGACGGUCAAACGUUGGACACGGAAAUCAGGGUUUCUCUUUUG
rnacentral:pre_miRNA from 1 species